GUCCCAUCAAUGUCCCCACAGGUGUCCCAAAGCCACCCCAGGGUGUCCCCUCCUGGUUGACCCCAAGCCACUCCUGGGUGUCCCAAGGAUGUCCCAGGAUGUCCCAAAGCCACCCCAGGGUGUCCCAGGAGCUCUCAGGGUGUCCCAUGGGUGCCCCAGACCCACCCGAGGUUGUCACUUCAAGGUGUCCCAUGGAUGUCCCAAAGCCACCCCAGGGUGUCCCAUGGGUGUCCCACAGAUGUCCCAGAGCCACCUCAGGUUAUCCCCUCCAGGGUGUCCCAUGGAUGUCCCAAGGCCACCCCAAGGUGUCCCAAAGCCACCAAUGGGUGUCCCAUGGGUGUCCCCUCCAGGGUGUCCCAGGGUGUCCCAGAGCCACCCCUGGGUGUCCCAAAGCCACCCCUGGAUGUCCCAUGGAUGUCCCAAAGCCACCUCAGGACUCUUCAGAGCCACCCCUGGGUGUCCCAGGAGCUCUCAGGGUGUCCCAUGGGUGUCCCAAAGCCACAAAGCCCCCCCAAGGUGUCCCAGAGCCACCACAGAUUGUCCCCUCCAGGGUGUCCCAAGGCCACCUGAGAUCUCCCAGGAUCCUUUAGGAUGUCCCAGAGCCACCCCAGGGUGUCACUUCAAGGUGUCCCAAGGAUGUCCCAGGACCCUCCAGGCCACCCCAGGACUCUUCAGGAUGUCCCAAAGCCACCCAUGGGUGUCCCACCAAUGUCCCAAAGCCACCUCAGGACUCUUCAGAGCCACCCAUGGGUGUCCCAGGAUGUCCCACAG
rnacentral:lncRNA from 1 species